UCUCCUCCAAGUUUAUAACACGUUAUCAGCACGAUUUCUCUAUCUCUAAAUUCAGAACCUCAACGCUCUCUCUCUCUCUUCCGAGUUUUUCUCAUCUAUGGAGAUGGGAUAUACAAGCUGCCAGUUUAUGCUUCCCUAUGAAAGUGGGAUACUGGGCUGCUCUUGCUCUAUCCUCAAAAUGAAGAGACGCUCCUCCUCCUCCUUCACCUUCAUGAUCUUCUUCUUCUCUCUUUAGUCCUUCUUCUCUUCCUCUUCCUGGAGAUGAUGAUGGUGAUGCUUCAGGACAAAUACGCCAACUUGCUCUGCUUCAUAAAGACUCAACCAGUCAAAAUUGAAGCCAACCCAUUCAAGGAAACUUGACUCAGCAGCCGCCAUGGCUGCUUCUGCUUCUGGGUUACAUCUCUCUUGGCUUUGACUUGGAGUAUUUUCAGAGGACGAGAUGAUGGAUGACAGGACCCGACCCAAUUUCCACUUUGGAAUUCGAGCCAAGUCCUGUACGUGUCCGACACCUGGCGAAUGUCGGGCACAAAUGACCUUUUUACCCUUCUUACUUCAAUUUCUCCUUAAAUUUUCCGUAGACUUCUGCCGAAAAUUCGGCA
rnacentral:lncRNA from 1 species